UUCGCCCUUAGAGUUUGAUCCUGGCUCAGGACGAACGCUGGCGGCGCGCCUAACACAUGCAAGUCGAACGAGCGAGAGAGAGCUUGCUUUCUCGAGCGAGUGGCGAACGGGUGAGUAACGCGUGAGGAACCUGCCUCAAAGAGGGGGACAACAGUUGGAAACGACUGCUAAUACCGCAUAAGCCCACGGGUCGGCAUCGACCAGAGGGAAAAGGAGCAAUCCGCUUUGAGAUGGCCUCGCGUCCGAUUAGCUGGUUGGUGAGGUAACGGCCCACCAAGGCAACGAUCGGUAGCCGGACUGAGAGGUUGAACGGCCACAUUGGGACUGAGACACGGCCCAGACUCCUACGGGAGGCAGCUGUGGGGAAUAUUGCACAAUGGGGGAAACCCUGAUGCAGCGACGCCGCGUGGAGGAAGAAGGUCUUCGGAUUGUAAACUCCUGUUGUUGAGGAAGAUAAUGACGGUACUCAACAAGGAAGUGACGGCUAACUACGUGCCAGCAGCCGCGGUAAAACGUAGGUCACAAGCGUUGUCCGGAAUUACUGGGUGUAAAGGGAGCGCAGGCGGGAAGACAAGUUGGAAGUGAAAUCCAUGGGCUCAACCCAUGAACUGCUUUCAAAACUGUUUUUCUUGAGUAGUGCAGAGGUAGGCGGAAUUCCCGGUGUAGCGGUGGAAUGCGUAGAUAUCGGGAGGAACACCAGUGGCGAAGGCGGCCUACUGGGCACCAACUGACGCUGAGGCUCGAAAGUGUGGGUAGCAAACAGGAUUAGAUACCCUGGUAGUCCACACCGUAAACGAUGAUUACUAGGUGUUGGAGGAUUGACCCCUUCAGUGCCGCAGUUAACACAAUAAGUAAUCCACCUGGGGAGUACGACCGCAAGGUUGAAACUCAAAGGAAUUGACGGGGGCCCGCACAAGCAGUGGAGUAUGUGGUUUAAUUCGACGCAACGCGAAGAACCUUACCAAGUCUUGUCAUCCCUUGACGAUGCUGGAAACAGUAUUUCUCUUCGGAGCAAGGAGACAGGUGGUGCAUGGUUGUCGUCAGCUCGUGUCGUGAGAUGUUGGGUUAAGUCCCGCAACGAGCGCAACCCUUAUGGUCAGUUACUACGCAAGAGGACUCUGGCCAGACUGCCGUUGACAAAACGGAGGAAGGUGGGGAUGACGUCAAAUCAUCAUGCCCUUUAUGACUUGGGCUACACACGUACUACAAUGGCGUUAAACAAAGAGAAGCAAGACCGCGAGGUGGAGCAAAACUCAGAAACAACGUCCCAGUUCGGACUGCAGGCUGCAACUCGCCUGCACGAAGUCGGAAUUGCUAGUAAUCGUGGAUCAGCAUGCCACGGUGAAUACGUUCCCGGGCCUUGUACUCACCGCCCGUCA
rnacentral:rRNA from 1 species